ensembl:misc_RNA 7SK 7SK RNA
AGAUGUGAGGGCAAUCUGGUUGCAACAUUUGUUAUUCCAAUGGUUGCUAGGGUUGGUUCAGCCAAAUUGGUUUUAGUGGGUGUCCCCCUCCUCCCUCACCAAUGUGUAUGUCCCUCUUGAAGCUUUGCCCUUGGUUAAGAAGAGGGCAUCUUUCCCCAGUAGAGGAGGGCCAUUCUCUGGUCUGGCAUAUAGGAAGGAGCAGCUGUGUUCCCCUGCUAGAACCUCCAAAUAGCUCUUAAGAGGAAACACUGUGGCCUGCACCUGUGGGUGGCUGGGAACAGACUGUUGGGGCCUAGGAGGAGGAGUCCCUUCCCG